rnacentral:misc_RNA from 1 species
GGAAUAUGAAAUGGCUUGUCAAAAAUUCUGAGCCCAAAUUUGGUUGUUAGCUUAGCGCUAAUAUUGUAUAUAUUGGAACUCCUAAGGUUCUCUACCCAUUUUUGUAAUUUACAGGCAUUGCAUCCCAAUUGAUAAAACACAAUUACAGGCAUCAUAUAAAGAGGGAAGUUCCAAAGAAUGAAAAUAAGUCCAGCAAAUGCAAAACCCUG